rnacentral:rRNA from 1 species
CUACGGGUGGCAGCAGUGAGGAAUAUUGCACAAUGGAGGAAACUCUGAUGCAGCAACGCCGCGUGGAGGAUGACGCAUUUCGGUGUGUAAACUCCUUUUAUAUGUCAAGAAAAUGACGGUAGCAUAUGAAUAAGCACCGGCUAACUCCGUGCCAGCAGCCGCGGUAAUACGGAGGGUGCAAGCGUUACUCGGAAUCACUGGGCGUAAAGGACGCGUAGGCGGGAUAUCAAGUCAGGUGUGAAAUCCUACAGCUUAACUGUAGAACUGCACUUGAAACUGGUAACCUAGAGUAUGGGAGGGGGAGAUGGAAUUAGUGGUGUAGGGGUAAAAUCCGUAGAUAUCACUAGGAAUACCUAAAGCGAAGGCGAUCUCCUGGAACAUAACUGACGCUAAGGCGUGAAAGCGUGGGGAGCAAACAGGAUUAGAUACCCCAGUAGUC